AGAGUUUGAUUCUGGCUCAGAACGAACGCUGGCGGCGUGGAUAAGACAUGCAAGUCGAACGGGAGAAUUGCUAGCUUGCUAAUAAUUCUCUAGUGGCGCACGGGUGAGUAACACGUGAGUAACCUGCCUCUUAGUGGGGGAUAGCCCUGGGAAACCGGGAUUAAUACCGCAUACGAUUGAAAGAUCAAAGCAGCAAUGCGCUAGGAGAUGGGCUCGCGGCCUAUUAGUUAGUUGGUGAGGUAACGGCUCACCAAGGCGAUGACGGGUAGCCGGUCUGAGAGGAUGUCCGGCCACACUGGAACUGAGACACGGUCCAGACACCUACGGGUGGCAGCAGUCGAGAAUCAUUCACAAUGGGGGCAACCCUGAUGGUGCGACGCCGCGUGGGGGAAUGAAGGUCUUCGGAUUGUAAACCCCUGUCAUGUGGGAGCAAAUUAAAAAGAUAGUACCACAAGAGGAAGAGACGGCUAACUCUGUGCCAGCAGCCGCGGUAAUACAGAGGUCUCAAGCGUUGUUCGGAAUCACUGGGCGUAAAGCGUGCGUAGGCUGUUUCGUAAGUCGUGUGUGAAAGGCAGGGGCUCAACCCCUGGAUUGCACAUGAUACUGCGAGACUAGAGUAAUGGAGGGGGAACCGGAAUUCUCGGUGUAGCAGUGAAAUGCGUAGAUAUCGAGAGGAACACUCGUGGCGAAGGCGGGUUCCUGGACAUUAACUGACGCUGAGGCACGAAGGCCAGGGGAGCGAAAGGGAUUAGAUACCCCUGUAGUCCUGGCAGUAAACGGUGCACGCUUGGUGUGCGGGGAAUCGACCCCCUGCGUGCCGGAGCUAACGCGUUAAGCGUGCCGCCUGGGGAGUACGGUCGCAAGAUUAAAACUCAAAGAAAUUGACGGGGACCCGCACAAGCGGUGGAGUAUGUGGCUUAAUUCGAUGCAACGCGAAGAACCUUACCUGGGCUUGACAUGUAAUGAACAACAUGUGAAAGCAUGCGACUCUUCGGAGGCGUUACACAGGUGCUGCAUGGCCGUCGUCAGCUCGUGUCGUGAGAUGUUUGGUUAAGUCCAGCAACGAGCGCAACCCCUGUUGCCAGUUACCAUCGAGUAAUGUCGGGGACUCUGGCGAGACUGCCCAGAUCAACUGGGAGGAAGGUGGGGACGACGUCAGGUCAGUAUGGCCCUUAUGCCCAGGGCUGCACACGUACUACAAUGCCCAGUACAGAGGGGGCCGAAGCCGCGAGGCGGAGGAAAUCCUGAAAACUGGGCCCAGUUCGGACUGUAGGCUGC
rnacentral:rRNA from 1 species